rnacentral:lncRNA from 10 species
AUCCCAGCUACUAGGGAGGCUGAGGCAGGAGAAUCACUCAAACCUGGAAGGCGGAGGCUGCAGUGAGCCAAGACUGCACCGCUGCACUCCAGUCUGGGCAACACAGUGAGACUCCAUCUCACAAACAACAACAACAAAAUGGAGAUGGAGACUAAAGCAAAUGUUAUGUGUUACUUUUCCCCUGGCCCUUUUAUUUCAACUUUCUCUCAAGAGUUGAGUGGAUGAAAUCAAUUGCAGAAAAUUCAUAAUUUUCAAAGGAAAGCGCAACAUAAAACAUUGUAAAUAAUACCUAUCUCAGUACAGUUGACUAGAAAUAACCUAAUGCCGACGUAAGGAGCUGUUUAAAUCAUGUUGCUGCAUCCAAAUGAAGUAAAAUCAAUUUUGUUUUCAAAAUACAUGCCUAGAAAAGAGACAGAAAAGAGAACAAAAUUACUAGCGUUGCUUGCCUCUAGAUGGUAAUUACAAGUCAUCUUAUUUUUCUUUUUCCUUUUCAGCAUUUUUUCCAAUGAAAAUGUAAUAGUGUAGUAAAAAGAAACAAUGGAAGUUAAUUUAAUAGCAAAAGAUAAUGGCCAGAAUAUUAUGUUACAAGAAAAAAAAUAAAACAGGAUUUUAAACAGCUAUACAUAGAAAAAAGCCUGGUAGGAAACAGACCAAGAUGUCAAAAGUGAUUAUUUCUUUUACAAUAUUGUGUCUUCCAACUUUUCCAUAAACAGCA